rnacentral:rRNA from 1 species
ACAUGUGGAGCGCUUAGAAGUGAGAAUGCCGGUGUGAGUAGCGAAAGACGGGUGAGAAUCCCGUCCACCGAUUGACUAAGGUUUCCAGAGGAAGGCUCGUCCGCUCUGGGUUAGUCGGGUCCUAAGCUGAGGCCGACAGGCGUAGGCGAUGGAUAACAGGUUGAUAUUCCUGUACCACCUAUAAUCGUUUUAAUCGAUGGGGGGGACGCAGUAGGAUAGGCGAAGCGUGCGAUUGGAUUGCACGUCUAAGCAGUAAGGCUGAGUAUUAGGCAAAUCCGGUACUCGUUAAGGCUGAGCUGUGAUGGGGAGAAGACAUUGUGUCUUCGAGUCGUUGAUUUCACACUGCCGAGAAAAGCCUCUAGAUAGAAAAUAGGUGCCCGUACCGCAAACCGACACAGGUAGUCAAGAUGAGAAUUCUAAGGUGAGCGAGCGAACUCUCGUUAAGGAACUCGGCAAAAUGACCCCGUAACUUCGGGAGAAGGGGUGCUCUUUAGGGUUAACGCCCAGAAGAGCCGCAGUGAAUAGGCCCAAGCGACUGUUUAUCAAAAACACAGGUCUCUGCUAAACCGUAAGGUGAUGUAUAGGGGCUGACGCCUGCCCGGUGCUGGAAGGUUAAGAGGAGUGGUUAGCUUCUGCGAAGCUACGAAUCGAAGCCCCAGUAAACGGCGGCCGUAACUAUAACGGUCCUAAGGUAGCGAAAUUCCUUGUCGGGUAAGUUCCGACCCGCACGAAAGGCGUAACGAUUUGGGCACUGUCUCAACGAGAGACUCGGUGAAAUCAUAGUACCUGUGAAGAUGCAGGUUACCCGCGACAGGACGGAAAGACCCCGUGGAGCUUUACUGUAGCCUGAUAUUGAAAUUCGGCACAGCUUGUACAGGAUAGGUAGGAGCCUUUGAAACGUGAGCGCUAGCUUACGUGGAGGCGCUGGUGGGAUACUACCCUAGCUGUGUUGGCUUUCUAACCCGCACCACUUAUCGUGGUGGGAGACAGUGUCAGGCGGGCAGUUUGACUGGGGCGGUCGC